GUGUUUUUCCUCUAAAUGCCUCCUGAAUAUUAAGCUCCAUCCCUUGGGUGUUGUUUGAAAUGCUCCCGUAGUUUUAUCUCCAUAAUGACUCCAUCAAAUUACCUUAGCUCAGUGUUACAAUUUCUCAGCUCCCUAUAAUCAUCUGGUUCAGUAAGCUGUCUCUGUAGGCAUCAUAGGUGGACUCCCGUUGCGAAGACUGUUCCCUAAGGAAGGCAAUUUAAUUAUGCUUUUUCUGAAGAUACCUCAUUUGUCCAAAUUCCAAAGGGGGGUUCACACUAACAACGAUUUGCACUGUCAAAGCGAUCAUCACUCAUUUUGAAUUAAAUAGAAAUGCUGACUUAAAAAAAUAUUUGAACAACAAGUAGUUCCAGUCCUCAAAUUUGAUUGGCAGCACUGGGUUUUUCCAGUGUUGUUAUCCAAACUUGUCUGUGUUUGCAUGUUCCAGACAGAAGUAGGUGGCGACAAGUGACUGGGCUG
ensembl:lncRNA